UUCUCCUACGGGGGGCAGCAGUGAGGAAUAUUGGUCAAUGGACGGAAGUCUGAACCAGCCAUGCCGCGUGCAGGAGGACGGCUCUAUGAGUUGUACACUGCUUUUGUACAAGGGUAAACCUGAAUACGUGUAUUCAGCUGAAAGUACUGUACGAAUAAGGAUCGGCUAACUCCGUGCCAGCAGCCGCUGUUAUACGGAGGAUCCAAGCGUUAUCCGGAUUUAUUGGGUUUAAAGGGUGCGUUG
rnacentral:rRNA from 1 species